ACAAAUAUUUUCCUUAUCUCUUGUAACAAACUAGCGAAACAAAUGGAUCUAAGGAUCACAGUCUAGUUUAUCGAUAGGCUAUUUUCAAGCUCAGAAACCAACCUUAAAGUCAGUGACAUCGCAUCUCUUCGUACCACUUGUGUGUUUUGCUCAAAACAAUCACCAGCGCGCCACCAUAAACGAAGUCCGACGACUUUGCAUCACGACAACCAGCAUUCCGUUCGACCCAACUUAACGGUCCCUGAAUAAUCGAUCGUCUCCGUUCAUGUCAUUGAGCCAAUUUCGUUUGCCUGUUCUAAGCGGCAGCGGACCUCCGACGUAUUGUUAGAAGAUAUUUGUUGAAUCUCUAUUACUUGGUCUACUAUCUCUCUCUAAGGCUGUCACUUUAACUCAGUUCCGAUUGAUAGUUCGAUAGCUCUAGUCGGUUGUCUUCGAUAAACUCCCAUCAGUUACUAAGGUUUUUGAUUGUUUAAGGACGACUAAAUUCUUUUGAUUUGGUUUGCUUGCUAAUAAGGUAUUGAAUGGGAACAACAGGAAAUAGUUUCAUUGUUCACUACUGAUGGAUGGGCUUGUUCAAAUGGGAGGAUCAACGUGACAACGUGUCUCUUCAUCAAAAGUGUACAAGCCUUUCGUUACUUGUCACAAUCAUGCUGUUUUUGCAAUUUGUUUAAUGCCGUAAAACACUAAAUCGAAGUUGAACAACAUAUGAUGUUGUCUUGCCAUAAGUUUUUAUUAGGGUACCGACAUAAAUCCAUAAUCUUAACCGUGUUCAGUCC